CUUCAGAUUUUUCUUGUCAUACUAUACCAUUUUUCUACACUUUCUUCAAGAAAACUGCGAAAAAACCCUAGAAUUAAAAAAAAAAUCUAUAUAUGUGAGCAUACAAAAUAUUCUAACUGCUUCUGACCAAUAACUUAGAAACAAUGGUAGUCCAUUUAUUAAAGUUGAUUAAAACUCUUCUAGUUUCAUUCGUCACCUCGGUGGGGCAUCGUAUUCAAAGAAAGUAAAAAAUAUGUGCUCCUUAAAAAAUGUUCCAUUUAUUUGUUCCAGGGCAUUUGCUUCUUUUUUCCAUUCGUUUUUUAGUGUUUGCAAAUGACAAAAAGAAAAAAAAACGGAAGAGGAGAUCAACGUAUGAAGGAUUUCGAUGAAUCGAAGUUCCGUUACGGUCAGAAUCUCACGGAAUAUGCUUGGAGGAAUCGAAUUCAAAGAAGUAAAACAUUAUUUGAACUUUGUAGGCGGAGAGGAAAUAUCGUCAUUUCGGAUGAGAAGAAAUGGGACCUGGAUCAAAAAUUUAACCGUCAAAGCGACCGAAUCUUGGUCUCAUCAUCAAAAGGUGUAUCCUUACACCAAAAAGCAAUUACAAACCCGUGUUAAUAGUAGAUAACUUUUGGUUUGGCAGGGAUUUCAAGUAAAGUAGAUAAGCUUCCUUUGGUUUUUAUUUUGGAGGGCCUCCGCAUGAAGACGGGUGACUACAUUUCGUAUUUUUUGGAGCCAUUGGUCCUUCUGUGGUUUAAAACCAAUUCAUCUAAAACGAUAAAGGUCACUUUUCGACAAGAUGGAUCUCCAAUACAUACCAGCGUUCAAUAUCAAGAGUGGCUUAAAUCAAAUAUUUCGUUCUAGGACAAAUCAAUGUGGCCCUUUCGAGUCCAGAUCUUAACUCCCUCUACUACUUUGUGUAGGGUUAUCUCGAGUGGAAGAUGGGAUGAGAUAAACUUCCCAUAUCUAUGGUGCGUGCAGCAUGUGAAUCAAUUCAAUCACGUCUAGGGAAGGCAUUCGACAAAGGAGUUCAAGUGGUUUUCUCUACGAACAAUCUAUCACUCAAUAUAUCAAGUUAAAAUGGUUUAAAGCUUAUGGCCACCCCUGUAUGUACCUCGAGUAUGUAGAUAUAAUGGAAACAGAAGCUGAACAUGGUAUUCCAGACAAUCUGAAGAAUGUUUAAGAAGGGAGAAGCUCAGCUGUCAAGACGUUUCGUAAGAUCAACUGCAAGCAGCAUGAGAGAACGGACAUAAACACAAAUCCUACUCCGUAUAUUAAAGGACAUAUAACUUGGAAUUACUCUGAGAUAGAUCCUCAAUUGCACUCCAAGUCUGAUAAGGACUUACAUUUAUAACUCCUUAGGACACCCUCAUUGUUAUUUUUCCUCUUCAUGAACACAUGCACUAUUUAUUACUUAGAUAUGUUGUCUUGAAGAAUGAAUUAAUAAUGACAAUAGCUUUGGAAAAUAAAAAAUAUGAUUAGAUUUUCAACGAGAAAAAGCCACUCCCGCUUUCUAAAACAAGUUUAUACACCUCCAACUAUUUUAUAAUAGUGUGAUUAUAAAUAUACAGAAAACAAUUAUUUGGUUAUACAUUUAAAUAACCCUGGAAAACAUUUUCAAAUAAAACUUUGGCUUCACAGUAGCAAUAUUUAUUAGUAGAUUUCUAAAGACAAGUUGCAUUAUUUUUUUUAUACCAUAAUGAACCAAAUUAGAGGGUAUUCCAAAAUAUAAAAGAUGAUUGAAAUUUUAAAAUUCUGAUAUAUUUAGCUAGAGAAAGGCUGAAAUUGCACUUUUCUUUUCAUUUUUUGAUCUAAAAAUGUAAAUACUUAGUAUAUCUUUCAGGAUAGUUAAUGCUCAAAUAACUUCUUUUUUUUAAUACAUCAAUACGCUUUA
rnacentral:lncRNA from 1 species